GACACUCUAUCCACUGAGCCAAACCAGCUAGGUUUGGUUCCUUACUUUUUGGUAAUUAACCUUUUUUUUAUUUCUCCCUGAGGUACAUUUUAUAUAUUUUCCACAGAAUAAACACCUCCUUUUACCGUGUCCACUUUUCACUAGCACAAUUUCAAUGGAUUGUAAUGUGAGCUUGCUGUUUAGAUGGAAGUGCCCUUCCUCCCCAACCCCCCAUACCACGUUUAUCUCGUACCCCCAGAGCCUAGAUGACUACUUGGUAAGGGCUCACAAGUAGGAAGUAGAUAAAGGGAAGUGGUGUUGAGAUAGAACCUCAUACCUUUACAGCAGUCCUGCUCCUCCAGGCGAUCAGCUUCUGCUCAACACCUUCCAGUGGAUUCCCAUGGCACUCAGAACAAAUCCAGUCCUUGCAUCAGCAUGUAGACCCUGCACGACCUGCUCUUCUCUCAUUCCCUACCCGCCCGCCCCACCGCCCAUCACUCUGUUGCAGCCACGCUGGUCUACCUGGUGCUCUCAAACCCUCCAAGUACUCUUGUCUUGCAGCCUAAUCACCCCCCACCCCCUCACCCCCCGCCAGGUUUCUGCUUUGUCAAGUAUCUUCCUGGAGAGGUCCCUAAGUACACUGUAUAAAAGAGCAAUCCUCCCCUCACCAGGACUCCAUGUUACCUUUACUGGGCUUAAUCACCAUCUACCAUAUAUAUUCUGUUUGUUUAUUGUCUGUCCUCUUAUACUAGACUGUAAGCACUAUAAAGGCAGAGAUUUGGCAUUUAUUAACUACUAUAUUGUACCUGUGUAUCUUACAUUGUUCCUGGCACACAGUAGAGCUUAAUCAAUAUUUUGUUGAAUGAAUAAAAAUCUGAUUAUUUGCCAUUUAACCAAAUA